rnacentral:rRNA from 1 species
UACGGAGGGUGCAAACGUUGCUCGGAAUCAUUGGGCGUAAAGCGCACGUAGGCGGCCGACUAAGUCGGAUGUGAAAGCCCAGGGCUCAACCCUGGAAGUGCAUUCGAAACUGACCGGCUUGAAUAUGGAAGAGGGUCGCGGAAUUCCCGGUGUAGAGGUGAAAUUCGUAGAUAUCGGGAGGAACACCAGUGGCGAAGGCGGCUCACUGGCCCGAUACUGACGCUGAGGCACGAAAGCGUGGGGAGCAAACAGGG